CGUAGCCGCGGUAAUACAGAGGGUGCGAGCGUUAAUCGGAUUUACUGGGCGUAAAGCGUGCGUAGGCGGCUUCUUAAGUCGGAUGUGAAAUCCCUGAGCUUAACUUAGGAAUUGCAUUCGAUACUGGGAAGCUAGAGUAUGGGAGAGGAUGGUAGAAUUCCAGGUGUAGCGGUGAAAUGCGUAGAGAUCUGGAGGAAUACCGAUGGCGAAGGCAGCCAUCUGUCCUAAUACUGACGCUGAGGUACGAAAGCAUGGGGAGCAAACAGGAUUAGAUACCCGAGUAGUCCCUGUCUCUUAUACA
rnacentral:rRNA from 1 species